rnacentral:rRNA from 1 species
ACGUAGGAGGCGAGCGUUAUCCGGAUUUACUGGGCGUAAAGCGCGUGCAGGCGGUGCGAUAAGUCGUGCGUGAAAGCUCCCAGGCUUAACCGGGAGUGGACGUGCGAGACUGUCGGACUAGAGGCAGGUAGAGGCAAGUGGAAUUCCGGGUGUAGUGGUGGAAUGCGUAGAUAUCGGGAGGAACACCAGUGGCGAAAGCGGCUCUCUGGUUCAAUACUGACACUGAGAUGCGAAAGCGUGGGGAGCGAACGG